rnacentral:rRNA from 1 species
UAAAACCCAAAGGACUUGGCGGUGCCCAGAACAACCUAGAGGAGCCUGUUCUGUAAUCGAUAAUCCUCGUUCAACCUCACCGCAUCUUGCAUUCAGCCUAUAUACCGCCGUCGUCGCCAGUCUACCUUUUGAGAGACCAUAAGUAGGCCCAAUAAGUAAAACUUAACACGAGGUCGAGGUGUAGC